rnacentral:rRNA from 1 species
UUAAUUUGAAGAGUUUGAUCAUGGCUCAGAUUGAACGCUGGCGGCAGGCCUAACACAUGCAAGUCGAACGGUAACAGGAAGAAGCUUGCUUCUUU